GAUGAACGCUGGCGGCGUGCCUAAUACAUGCAAGUCGAGCGAACGGACGAGAAGUUUGCUUCUCUGAUGUUAGCGGCGGACGGGUGAGUAACACGUGGAUAACCUACCUAUAAGACUGGGAUAACUUCGGGAAACCGGAGCUAAUACCGGAUGAUAUUUUGAACCGCAUGGUUCAAAAGUGAAAGACGGUCUUUCUUUUACUUAUUGAUGGAUCCGCGCUGCAUUAACUAGUUGGUAAGGUAACGGCUUACCAAGGCAACGAUGCAUAGCCGCCCUGAAAGGGUGAUCGGCCACACUGUAACUGAGACACGGUCCAGACUCCUACGGGAGGCAGCAGUAGGGAAUCUUACGCAAUGGGCGAGAGCCUGACGGAGCAACACCGCGUAAGUGAUGACGGUCUUCGGAUCGUAAAACUCUGUUAUUAGGGAAGAACAUAUAUGUAAGUAACUGUGCACAUCUUGACGGUACCUAAUCAGAAAGCCACGGCUAACUACGUG
rnacentral:rRNA from 1 species